GGUCCUAUGGUGUAAUGGCUAUCACUGUGGACUUUGAAUCCACCAAUCCGAGUUCGAGUCUCGGUAGGACCU
rfam:Oikopleura dioica, whole genome shotgun assembly, reference scaffold set, scaffold scaffold_68